rnacentral:misc_RNA from 1 species
GAUGAAGAACGUAGUGAAAUGCGAUAAUUAAUGUGAAUUGCAGAAUUCAGUGAAUCAUCGAGUCUUUGAACGCACAUUGCGCCCCCUGGUAUUCCGGGGGGCAUGCCUGUCCGAGCGUCAUUGCUGCCCUCAAGCACGGCUUGUGUGUUGGGCUUCCGUCCCUGGCAACGGGGACGGGCCCAAAAGGCAGGGGCGGCACCAUGUCUGGUCCUCGAGCGUAUGGGGCUUUGUCACCCGCUCCCGUAGGUCCAGCUGGCAGCUAGCCUCGCAACCAAUCUUUUUAACCAGGUUGACCUCGGAUCAGGUAGGGAUACCCGCUGAACUUAAGCAUAUCAAUAAGCGGAGGA